AAAAUUAUCAAUAUUUAAUUUUUCGAAUUAUGGAUUUUUUUUAAACUUUAUUAUUUUGAUUUAUUUAAUAAAAUAUGAUUAAUCUAAUAUUAUUUAAAAAUUCAAUUAUCAAAGGUUACGAUGUUAAUACUAUUUUACGAUGUAAUUUAAAAUCUAUGGAAGACAUCAAUAUGUAUGUUGGUAUUUACGUAAGUAUUUUAUAUUAUUUUUAAUGAAUAAUAAACUAUUUACGUCAUGAGAAUGCUAACUAAAAUAAUUUAAACAUUUUUUAGAAAAAAUUUUGUUUGUCAUCACAGUGGAUUCCAGAAGCCUAGUGUAUCAGCAAACCAAAAAGGCUGACGCAAUUCGAAUUUAUUUAAUUUUAUCUCCCACGCGAUUUUUUGGUUAUUUUUUUCAAAAUAUGUGUUUUCGCUUAUUUUAAAUUGCUGAAUGCCCAAAUCAUAUGGUUUUUUUUUAAAUAUUUAAAUUAAUUUUAAUUAUUUAGUUAAGACUUAAGAAUUAAGAUACAUAUAAAAUAAAUAGUUUAUUAUUUAGUAGACACAUUGAUAUCUUCCAUAGAACUUGCAUCACAUCUUAAACUAAUAUUAAAAUGGUCAAUUGUUACCUUUAAUAAUUUUAUAUUUAAAUGAUGCUGAUAAAUCAUAUUUUAUUAAAUAAAUCAAAAUAAUUAAUUUAAAAAAAAAAACAUAUAAUUUUAUAACUUUAUCACAAACGCAAUACAGCCUAUGAGAGCUCUAGAUUUCCAGUUGAUCUCUAGCAAUGUAUGGUAUGUUUAAUAUAUGUGCACGGGACAUGGAUUAUGGUGUUAUGUACACUGCGGCUUAAAGGUGUGAUUCCUAUGCACGCGUCUAGAGACGCGGCGCGAUUUACUUAUAGCCGCGCAGGUGCUACUUGACUUG